rnacentral:rRNA from 1 species
UACGUAGGGUGCAAGCGUUGUCCGGAAUUAUUGGGCGUAAAGAGCUCGUAGGCGGUUUGUCGAGUCUGCUGUGAAAACGCGAGGCUCAACCUCGCGCCUGCAGUGGGUACGGGCAGACUAGAGUGCGGUAGGGGGUAUUGGAAUUCCUGGUGUAGCGGUGGAAUGCGCAGAUAUCAGGAGGAACACCGAUGGCGAAGGCAGAUCUCUGGGCCGUAACUGACGCUGAGGAGCGAAAGCAUGGGGAGCGAACAGG